CAGCAGCCGCGGUAAUACCAGCUCUCCGAGUGGUAGGGAUGAUUAUUGGGCUUAAAGCGUCCGUAGCCGGCUUAGCAAGUUUCCUGUUAAACUCAGCGACUCAAUCGUUGGAUCGCGGGAAAUACUACUAGGCUAGGAGGCGGGAGAGGUCAACGGUACUUCUGGGGUAGGGGUGAAAUCCUAUAAUCCCGGGAGGACCACCAGUGGCGAAGGCUGUUGACUAGAACGCGCUCGACGGUGAGGGACGAAAGCUGGGGGAGCGAACCGGAUUAGAUACCCGGGUAGUCCCAGCUGUAAACGAUGCGAGCUAGGUGUUGGAAUGGCUACGGGCCAUUUCAGUGCCGCAGGGAAGCCAGUAAGCUCGCCGCCUGGGGAGUACGGCCGCAAGGCUGAAACUUAAAGGAAUUGGCGGGGGAGCACCACAAGGCGUGAAGCUUGCGGUUCAAUUGGAGUCAACGCCGGGAACCUUACCGGGGGCGACAGCAGAAUGAAGGCCAGAUUGAAGGUCUUGCUAGACAAGCUGAGAGGAGGUGCAUGGCCGUCGCCAGUUCGUGCCGUGAGGUGUCCUGUUAAGUCAGGCAACGAUCGAGACCCACGCCUUUAGUUGCUACCGAGGAAAUUUUCCAAGGGGCACUCUAAAGGGACUGCCGUCGACAAGACGGAGGAAGGAGUGGGCUACGGCAGGUCAGUAUGCCCCGAAUCCCCCGGGCUACACGCGAGCUGCAAUGGCAGAGACAAUGGGUUCCAACCCUGAGAAGGGACGGUAAUCUCGAAACUCUGCCUCAGUUUGGACUGAAGGCUGGAACCCGCCUUCACGAAAAUGGAAUGCCUAGUAAUCGCGCGUCAUCAACGCGCGGUGAAUACGUCCCUGCUCCUUGCACAC
rnacentral:rRNA from 1 species